UGGUCAUACCUGAGGAAUUUUUCAAAGAUUACCAAGGAAAUGACACCAAGUCAUCGUGUUGAUACCCUGACAGAUGCCCUGAUUCAUUAUGCCAACAGGAAUUAUUUGAAGAUCGGAACAUUCCUUAGUUCCAAAAUGGAGAAGGCCAAAGAUGUCGCGAUGACUUCAUCAAAAGAACUGACCAUCCUCCUUUCAACUAUGCAAGCAACUACGGCUGAU